rnacentral:rRNA from 1 species
UACGUAGGGCGCAAGCGUUGUCCGGAAUUAUUGGGCGUAAAGAGCUCGUAGGCGGCUUGUUGCGUCGGUUGUGAAAGCCCGGGGCUUAACCCCGGGUCCGCAGUCGAUACGGGAAGGCUAGAGUGUGGUAGGGGAGAUCGGAAUUCCUGGUGUAGCGGUGAAAUGCGCAGAUAUCAGGAGGAACACCGGUGGCGAAGGCGGAUCUCUGGGCCAUUACUGACGCUGAGGAGCGAAAGCGUGGGGAGCAAACAGG